GAUGAACGCUGGCGGCGUGCCUAAUACAUGCAAGUCGAGCGAACGGACGAGAAGCUUGCUUUUCUGAUGUUAGCGGCGGACGGGUGAGUAACACGUGGAUAACCUACCUAUAAGACUGGGAUAACUUCGGGAAACCGGAGCUAAUACCGGAUAAUAUUUUGAACCGCAUGGUUCAAAAGUGAAGGACGGUCUUGCUGUCACUUAUAGAUGGAUCCGCGCUGCAUUAGCUAGUUGGUAAGGUAACGGCUUACCAAGGCAACGAUGCAUAGCCGACCUGAGAGGGUGAUCGGCCACACUGGAACUGAGACACGGUCCAGACUCCUACGGGAGGCAGCAGUAGGGAAUCUUCCGCAAUGGGCGAAAGCCUGACGGAGCAACGCCGCGUGAGUGAUGAAGGUCUUCGGAUCGUAAAACUCUGUUAUUAGGGAAGAACAUAUGUGUAAGUAACUGUGCACAUCUUGACGGUACCUAAUCAGAAAAGCACGGCUAACUACGUGCCAGCAGCCGCGGUAAUACGUAGGUGGCAAGCGUUAUCCGGAAAUAUUGGGCGUAAAGCGCGCGUAGGCGGUUUUUUAGUCUGAUGUGAAAGCCCACGGCUCAACCGUGGAGGGUCAUUGGAAACUGGAAAACUUGAGUGCAGAAGAGGAAGGUGGAAUUCCAUGUGUAGCGGUGAAAUGCGCAGAGAUAUGGAGGAACACCAGUGGCGAAGGCGACUUUCUGGUCUGUAACUGACGCUGAUGUGCGAAAGCGUGGGGAUCAAACAGGAUUAGAUACCCUGGUAGUCCACGCCGUAAACGAUGAGUGCUAAGUGUUAGGGGGUUUCCGCCCCUUAGUGCUGCAGCUAGCGCAUUAAGCACUCCGCCUGGGGAGUACGACCGCAAGGUUGAAACUCAAAGGAAUUGACGGGGACCCGCACAAGCGGUGGAGCAUGUGGUUUAAUUCGAAGCAACGCGAAGAACCUUACCAAAUCUUGACAUCCUUUGACAACUCUAGAGAUAGAGCCUUCCCCUUCGGGGGACAAAGUGACAGGUGGUGCAUGGUUGUCGUCAGCUCGUGUCGUGAGAUGUUGGGUUAAGUCCCGCAACGAGCGCAACCCUUAAGCUUAGUUGCCAUCAUUAAGUUGGGCACUCUAAGUUGACUGCCGGUGACAAACCGGAGGAAGGUGGGGAUGACGUCAAAUCAUCAUGCCCCUUAUGAUUUGGGCUACACACGUGCUACAAUGGACAAUACAAAGGGCAGCGAAACCGCGAGGUCAAGCAAAUCCCAUAAAGUUGUUCUCAGUUCGGAUUGUAGUCUGCAACUCGACUACAUGAAGCUGGAAUCGCUAGUAAUCGUAGAUCAGCAUGCUACGGUGAAUACGUUCCCGGGUCU
rnacentral:rRNA from 1 species